UGGUGACGUCACGGCGCUCGUCGGCGCCGCCUGUGGCGUCACGGGUAGGGCCAGCGGGGCGUUCUAGGGGUCUUUCGCUCUUGGAGCCGCAGGCGGCGGGCGCGUGCGCGGCCCGAUGAAGAAGGUGGUUUCCAAGCAGUCUCCGCCCAAGUUGAUUGGUAGGUGCCCUCCCCGCGCGGGGCGCCGGUUGCUACGGACGCAGUGGCGGCCGCUGGCUGGCGGGCGUGCGCGGGGUCGCCGCGGGUGCGGCGCAGCCUCGGUGUCUCGGGGCCGGGCGGUGCAGGGUCACGCUCACCGCCGGGACGGCACCAUGAAGUCUCUAAAGAAGGAUUCCCGCCUCAAAAUAACUCCAGCCAGAUUAUUAGAGGCCGCAGAGAGCUUCAAAGAAAAGAAACGGGCAAAGGGACCUGAACAACCCACACCCCCAAUUCAGGAAGAGCCUGAACCUAUUAGCAAUGUCCUACAAGGAGAUGACAUUCUUGCUUUGGCCAUUAAGAAGGAAGACUUGAAGGAGCAACAUAUUCCUCGCCUUACUGAAAAGGAAGAUAAACGCGUCAUUACCCAGAAAUUUAUCAUCCGUAAACUCAAACCCACGGAUCCUAGGAGGAAGGUCUGCCACCUUGUAGCACGUCCUGCAAAUACCGAUGCAGCCACAAAGCCUCUGGACUACUCUGGUCCCGGUGACAGCUUCGAUGGCAGUGACCAGAUCCUGCCCCACCACAUCUUGGGGAGUCUCCAGGACUUUAAGAGAAUUGCACUUGCUCGAGGGAACACCCGGCUGGCUGAGCUGAUACCUACCUCACCCUGUCUGAUGACCCUCAUCUCUGCUAAAGGAGAGUCAACGCAAAAAGCCCCAAAAGAAGAGAAGAGACCUCCCUGGGCCCCACCUCCUCAGCACAACUUUCUGAAAAACUGGCAGCGUAACAUAGCCCUGCGGAAGAAGCAGCAGGAAGCCCUCAGUGAACACCUAAAGAAGCCGAUCAGUGAGCUGCUCAUGCACACUGGGGAGACCUACAGACGGAUCCAGGAGGAGCGGGAGCUCAUUGACUGCACACUUCCAACGCGGCGUGAUAGGAAAAGCUGGGAGAACAGUGGGUUCUGGAGUCGACUGGAAUACUUGGGAGAUGAGAUGACAGGUCUGGUCAUGACCAAGACAAAAACUCAGCGUGGCCUUAUGGAGCCCAUCACACACAUCGGGAAGCCCCACUCCAUCCGGGUGGAGACAGGAUUACCAGCCCAGAGGGACGCUUCAUACCGCUACACCUGGGAUCGGAGUCUAUUUCUGAUCUACCGACGCAAGGAGCUGCAGCAAAUCAUGGCAGAGCUGGAUUUCAGCCAGCAGGUUAGUAUGGCCUCCAUGCCCCAGUCAGAAGCCUCUUGGGGCAGUGCCUGUCUUCAGUCAGCUCUUCUAACCUUUCUCCAUCUCUCGGAGGAUAUUGAUGGCCUGGAGGUGGUGGGCAAAGGGCAGCCCUUCUCAGCUGUUACUGUGGAAGACUACACAGUGUUUGAAAGAAGUCAGGGAAGCUCCUCUGAAGAGACAACAUACUUAGGCACAUUGGCAAGUUCCUCUGAUGUCCCCAUGCCUAUUCUCGGCCCUUCUCUUCUGUUCUGUGGGAAGCCAGCUUGCUGGAUCAGAGGCAGUAAUCCACAGAACAAGAGGCAGGUCGGGAUUGCUGUUCACUUGACCUUUGAAACCCUAGAAGGCGAGAAAACCUCCUCAGAACUGACUGUGGUCAAUAAUGGCACCGUGGCCAUUUGGUAUGACUGGCGACGGCAGCACCAACCAGACACUUUCCAAGACCUGAAGAAAAACAGGAUGCAGCGAUUUUACUUUAACAGCCGGGAAGGUGUGAUUCUGCCUGGAGAAACUAAAACCUUUACCUUCUUCUUCAAGUCUUUGACUGCUGGGAUCUUCAGGGAAUUUUGGGAGUUUCGAACCCAUCCUACUCUAUUAGGAGGUGCUGUGCUGCAAGUCAAUCUCCAUGCAGUCUCCCUGACCCAGGAUGUUUUUGAGGAUGAGAGGGAAGUACUGGAGAGCAAACUGACGGCCCAUGAGGCAGUCACCAUCGUUCACGAAGUGCUGCAGGAGGUGCUGAUGGGGGUCUUGACCCCGGAGCGCACACCAUCACCUGUGGAUGCCUAUCUCACCAAGGAAGACUUGUUCCGACACAGGAAUCCUCAGCUGCAUUACGAGCACCAAGUGGUGCAAAGCCUGCAUGAACUGUGGCGCCAGUACAUGACUCUGCCCCCCAACGCUGAGGAGGCCAGGCCAGGGGACAAGGAGCACGUCAGCCCCAUAGCCACAGAGAAGGCCUCUGUGAAUGCUAAGCUCUUACCGCGCUUUAGGAGCCCCAUUUCUGAACCUCAAGUGCCCCAGCCUGAGAACGAGGCCCUCAGGGAAUCCGGAUCCCAGAAGGCCAGAGUGGGAACCAAGAGUCCUCAGCAGAAGAGCAUCGUGGAGGAGAUCCUGGUGGAGGAAAGCCCAGAUGUGGACAGCGCCAGGAGCCCCUGGGAGCCGGAUGGCCUUCCCCUGCUGGAGUGGAAUCUCUGCUUGGAGGAUUUCAGAAAGGCAGUGAUGGUGCUCCCUGAUGAGAACCAGAGAGAGGAUGCGCUGAUGAGGCUCAACAAAGCAGCCCUGGAGCUGUGCCAGAAGCCAAGACCAUUGCAGUCCAACCUCCUGCACCAGAUGGGUUUGCAGCUAUGGCGAGAUGUGAUUGACAGCCUGGUGAGCCAUUCCCUGUGGCUGAGGUCUCUGCUGGGCCUGCCUGAGAAGGAGACCAUCUAUUUGAAUGUGCCUGAAGAGCAAGAUCAAAAAUCACCUGCCAUCAUGGAAGUGAAGGUACCUGUGGGGAAAGUUGGGAAGGAGGAGCGGAAAGGAGCAGCCCAGGAAAAGAAGCAACUGGGGAUCAAAGACAAAGAAGACAAGAAAGGAGCCAGGGUACUCGGGAAGGAGUCAUGCUGGGGCGUGGUCUGGGCCAGGACCGUCCCAACAGCAAGAAGCACAGGGCAAAGGACGACAAGAAAGUCAUAAAAUCUGCAAGUCGGGACAGGUUUUCCUCGGAAGACCCUAUCCCUGACAUCAACCUCCCUUCUCAAGAACCCAUAGACCCCCUGGUCAUGGAGAAAUACACCCAGAGGCUGCACAGCGAGGUCCAUGGGCUGCUGGACACCCUGGUGACCAACCUGAUGGUCCUGGCUGAUGAGCUCAGCCCCAUAAAGAAUGUCGAGGAACCUUUGCGUCUCUGCAGGUGACUCUCGGGCCCAAGCAACCUUCUGGAAAACGGGUUAAUAAAUAAUAAAGAACCUUCAAGUUUCUACUAC